rnacentral:misc_RNA from 1 species
UAUUGUAUUGCGUUAAACGCGGUAUACAUUCCAUGAGACUUUCGUUACAGUGUGUGUGUAAAGACAUAGAACCACGGCAGGGGGACAGAGCCCCCCACGCCACAGAACUACAGAGGGUGCACAGGUGUGAGUGGAUGUGUAAACAGAGCGUGCACAUGCCCCCAAUUUGAGGACCAGCAACAACUCGUGUCAACAGUUCAGUAAUGAUCCUUCCGCAGGUUCACCUACGGAAA